rnacentral:lncRNA from 1 species
AUUCUUCCAGUCAUGCUAUAUGGCUAUGAAUUCUGCAAUAUCACAGUCAUUCAAGAUCAAAAUUGCAUGUCAUCCAAGUUAUAGUGGACAGAUGCAUGGAGGGCAUAUGGCUUAUAAAAAUAUAAUAAGAGUAACUCGAAGAGGAACAGAAGGAAACUGGAGAAAUCUGAAAAGCCAAUUAGAGGGCACACUGUUGGGAAUACUAAUGACAGUACUGAAGCAAUUUUAUUGUUGAUGACUAUUACUACAGAAGAAUAUUAUCAGUGUUGGAUGGGAGAUUGGAAUUUUAAUGGAUGUUUUAUAAAUGUGGACAUUACAUGUUUGAAAAUUAGGAAACAAACUAGAUGAAACACUUUUAUGAUGUUGUUCCCCAGCUCAAGAAUAUACAAUGGCUCCCUAUCACAGGAAUCAACUCAAACGCCUUAUCUUAGCAUCCAAUGUUCUUUACAGUUUGUCCCCACCUAACCUAUCCACUUCAAUUCUUUGCCUUUUGGGAUAAUUGGGCUAGUUUCUUCUAGCUUACAUUCUCUAAACAUUUCGUACACAUUCCCAACUCCAAGCAUUUGCUCAUGCUAUAACCAUUCCUAAAAUGCUCUUCCCACUCCUUUCUACCUUCAACAACUAACUUUUAUGCUUGUAUCCUCAGGGCCUAGAAUAAGGCCUAGCACAUAUACUUUUAAUCAAUGCUCAUUGAAUGAAAUAAAAUUCAGGAGUGUUUUAAUCGACUUAUAUUU